GAUCCUUCGAUCACAGGUUGGACCCAUGCACUGCGCGAGGUUCAUUCUUUGGUCGGAGAUCGUCUCCGCCAGAAGCUCCGUCAUAUGGACUUUGACGCCUUCCUUCGCGUGCAAUUUGAGCACCAUAGCCUUAGUCACCACAUGGCUGCAGCCUUGGAGGAGCGCUGCUCCCGGGAGAUUAUUUGCCGGGACGAGGCUAUUGGUGCUCUUAAGAAGGAAAACGAAAAUUUAGAGGCCGAGAAGGCUCGCCUGUCGGAGGAUGUUAAGGAGCUUUCUUCUGC